UACGGAGGGGGCUAGCGUUGUUCGGAAUUACUGGGCGUAAAGCGCGCGUAGGCGGAUCUGCAAGUCGGGGGGUGAAAUCCCCGGGCUUAACCUGGGAACUGCAUUUGGGACUGCAAAGCUUGAGUGCGGCAGAGGGGACUGGAAUUCCUGGUGUAGCAGUGAAAUGCGUAGAGAUCAGGAGGAAUACCGAUGGCGAAGGCAGGUCCCUGGGCUGACACUGACGCUCAUGCACGAAAGCGUGGGGAGCAAACAGG
rnacentral:rRNA from 1 species